ensembl:lncRNA
UAACUCUACAAUCCUUAAUAUAAGUACUCAAAUUAGGUUAAAAAACCUAUUCCUCUAUGAGUUGGCAUCAGGCUCUGGUUACAGACUCUCUUCCUACUCUACAUGCUGCAUACUCUCUCUGGGCAAAUAUCUCUCCAAUAGUCUACUAGACAUCUCUAUCUAAUUUUAAUCCAGGCUCUGCCUCUUACUAACUGUGUAACCUUGGGCAAGUUAGUUAACCUCUCAUUUUCCUCCUCUCUAAAAUAACCUUAUAGAGUUAUUAUGCGUACUAAGUAAGUUAAUAUAUGUAAAGGGCCUAAAACAGUGCCUGGGACAUUGUAUGCACCAUAUAAGCAUACACUAUUAUUUGUAUUCACCUUUGUAUUCCCAUACCUAGCACAGUACCUACCACUUAGCAUACCACUUGUUACCUACCAAAUGCAUUAAAUCGUUAGCUACAAAAUGAAUGUCGACACCCAGUUACUCAGCCCCAAUCAUAAGCCAAAAUUUCUAAUAUCUCAUCAGAUCCAGCCCAUAAGCUGCCAUCAUUCUUCUUUAACAUCUGCUAUGUACAUGGCAUUGGUACCUUAGGGAUACCAUCACGACCAGUCAUGGUGUUUAGCCCAAGGGACUUAUAUAGCAAUAGGGAAAUAAGACACAGUAAAAAAUAACUCUGACACUAGAUGGAAGGAGGUAAAACUGACAAUGAGUUUUAGGAUGUCACAGAUAUGGAAGAGCAAAGGUAUGAUGUUUCUCAUUUUUGUCUGCAGGGUACUGAAGAACAAUAGGAAUGUUCCUAUGUUCAUCAUCAUACUGAUAAACGUGCUAAAAAACCAAGUAUAGGUUCCAGACCAUCUGCUAUUUUCUUUACCCUACCCCUGGAAUGAACCAUUUCUCCGGGGUUAAUUCUGCAGCUUUGAUUUCCUUUAUUGAAGAAUUGUAUUUCGAACCAAGAUCUGGGCACCAAGGUAUUCUCAUUGCUGCAAGAUGUCAUUGUUUCUAGUUCUUCUCAGUCAACAGAACUAGGAAAGAUACACAUUCAUAUUUAUUUAUGCAUGUAUCUAUAUGUAUACAUAUUAACCAUGCAUUCUUACCUCCCCCAACACUACAGGUAUCAUGCUAGCCUUUCCCUUCUCCUUAUUUGUAGCUUUUUUGUUGUUGACAGUGAGAAACCUAGCUCUCACUAUCCACGAUAUGUUUACUUAAUUUUUUGAUCCUAAUAUACACAUAAAGUAGUUUCAGAAUUAUCAACCCGUACUAACCUACACAGAAUUAUCAACCCAUACUAACCUACACAGAAUUGUACAGAUUGGUUUUUUUCUUUUGGUCUUUAACCUUGCAGUGCCCAGUCAAAAUACUCUUUUCCAAAGAUAUUUAGGUUAGUUUUUUCUUCACUACUGCCUUCAGUUUGGUUAUGUUAGUCAUUUGUAUUACAGUCAGAUUCAUUUGUUGUUGUUUGUAUUCCAUUUGAGGUUCCCAUCACAUUCUGGUUGAUUUUUAAUUAUUUAUUUAUUUAUUGUAUGUGAAAUAUUACCAUGUGUAUUAGUCAGUUUUUUCUAGAGAAACAGAACCCCAGUAGGAUAUAUAUAUAUAUAUAUAUAUAUGUAUAUAUAUAUAUAUAUACAUAUAAAUGUAUAUACACACACACAUAUCUUAAUUAUGAGGAAUUGGCUCACGCAGUUACAGAGGCUGAGAAGUCCCAUGACCUACUGUCUGCAGGCUGGAGAUGCAGGAACUCCAGUGGUAUAAUUCAGUCAAUGCCUGAAGGCCUGAGAACCAGGGACACCAAUGGUUUAAAUCUCAGCUGGAGGACAGUAGAAGAUGAGAUGUCCCAACUCAGCAGUGAAGUAGGAAAAAAAGAGUGGAUUCCUAUAAGUGAGAUUAUUGGGUCAAAAGAAUUUUCAGAAUGCAUAAAGAUAUUUGCACCCCUAUGUUCAUGGCAGCAUUAUCCACAAUAGCCAAGACUUGGAAACAACCUAAGUGCCCAUCGAUGGAUGAAUGGAUAAAGAAGAUGUGGUAUACAUACACAAUGGAAUACUACUCAGCCAUAAAAAAAAGAUGAAAUCUUGCCAUUUGCAACAUCAUGGAUGGACCUUGAGGGUGUUAUGCUAAGUGAAAUAAGUCAGACAGGGAAAGUACUGUAUGAUUUCACUCCUAAGUAUAAGAUAAAAACAACAACAAUAACAACAAACAAACACACAGAUACAGAGAUUAAGUUGGUGGUUACCAGAAGGAAAGGGGAGAAGGAGGAGGAAGAAAGGGAUGAUAGGACACAUGUGUAUGAUGAUGGAUGGUAACUAGUCUUUGGGUAGUGAACAUGAUGUAGUCUACGCAGAAAUUGAAAUAUAGUGAAAUUUAUAUAGUAUUAUAAAAAAAUGUUUCCCCAAUAAAAAAGAAAAAAGAAUUUUUGGGUCUCUGCUCCGGAUUGUGAUUGACUUUUCAUAUUUG